AGCAAUUCCAUUGGUUUAUUUACAGGGGUUUUAAAUUUGGGUUCAGAAAUUUAUUUUUUUGUGACAGAUUCAUGGCGCUUCAUUAAAAUUUACAAAAAAUUGUACUGUUUCACUUUUUGAGCUAUAAUUUGGUACAAGCAGUGAUAUUUGUUAUCCAGAUCAUUCAAAGUGCAGUGUUUUUAAUUUGAACUGAAGUGAUAUUAAGACUUGAGAGAGCAGUGAGACAAGAGGCAGCAUGGGUGCGUGGUACAGUGGUCGCACCUGUCGCCUGGUGGGGGUGUUCGUGAUGACGGCUCUGUUCUUCUUCGUCGAGCUCAUCGUGGGCUACAUCACCAACUCCAUGGCCCUUGUUGCUGACAGCUUCCACAUGCUCAGCGAUGUCCUGGCCCUCAUCAUAGCCUUCCUCAGCGUCAGAGUCAGCAGAACGCAGUCCACGUGGAAGUACAGCAAGAACAAGAACACGUUCGGGUGGGCGCGGGCUGAGGUGCUAGGGGCGCUCGUGAACAGCGUCUUCCUUCUCGCCCUCUGCUUCUCCAUCUUCGUCGAGGCCAUCGAACGGAUGUACGAGGGCAAGGAGGUGCUGCACAACCCUGAGCUCAUCCUAUACGUGGGCGUCGUGGGUCUCGUCGUGAAUAUCAUCGGCCUGGCCCUGCUGCACAAGCACGGUCACGGCCACAGCCACGGCGGCGGAGGUGGCCACGGGCACAGCCACGGCGGGGCAUCUGCUCGCCGGUCGUCACGACAGGCGACGAUCAACACGCUCGUCGCCACAGACGACAACGAGAACGAUCAGCGUCUUGCGUCCGGCGGCUCCAUCUCCAUCAUGGCGGCCGCGGGUGGCGGGGCGGGCGGCGGGACGGACGGCGGGGACGACGAGCGGCGGACCGACAAGAAACGCGGCAAGAAGUCCUCCGUGUCCAUGAACAUGAAGGGCGCCUUCCUGCAUGUUCUUUCCGACGCCCUCGGGUCGGUGGUGGUGAUCGUGAGCGCGUUGAUCGUCUGGAAGACAGACUUCGUGUACAAGAGCUACGUGGACCCCGUGCUCUCCAUGCUGCUCGUGCUGCUCAUCUCGUACACUACGUGGCCGCUGCUCAAGGAGAGUGCGCUCAUCCUGCUCCAGACCGUGCCCACGCACAUACAGGUGGAGGGCAUCCAGCAGCAGCUGCUGAUGGUGGACGGGGUGCUGGCCGUGCAUGAGUUCCACGUCUGGCAGCUCGCUGGUGACAGAAUUAUUGCCUCUGCACACAUCAGGUGCCGUAACCUGCAGGACUACAUGGUGCUGGCGGAGAAGGUGAAGAAGAUGUUCCACGAAGAAGGCAUCCACUCGACGACCAUCCAGCCCGAGUUCGUGGAGCUGGAAUCCGUGCAUGCGGACCAGAACUGCAUCCUGGACUGCCCCACUAACGACAAGGAGGAGUGCGCUGCCAGCACCUGCUGUGGGCCUACCUCCAGACAGCUGCAGCAUCAGAGUCCUGAGCAGCAGCAGCUGUUGCGGCAGCGCACAGCAGACGUGUAGACCUGCCACCCCUCACCUCCCCUCAGUUGCUCUCCUGUGCACCAGCUUUAUUUCCCCUCAGGUUGACGGCUCGAGCCUGAGCCCCACGAACGUACGGCAGCGCAGUGUCGACCAGGCGGCG
rnacentral:misc_RNA from 1 species